rnacentral:tRNA from 1 species
GCCGGUGUAGCUCAAUUGGCAGAGCAACUGACUUGUAAUCAGUAGGUUGAGGGUUCGAUUCCUUUCGCCGGCACCA